UGGGGAAUCUGCCUAUAUCAGCAGAGAUUAGUAAAAUUGGAAGUACCUGUGGCAGCAGUAAUCAUCAUCCUAGACCUUCUGAUCUGUAAUCUCCUAUAAGUUUUUAGAAAGCAUCAGUUUGGGGAGGAUGAAAGAAUGAGUGGGAUAGUUCUACACUUGGUGUAGAGAGUUUGUUUGCUUUGUUUGUUUUUUGUGCAAAUCUCUUGUCUCUGGUCUGUGGUGCACGUUGCAUGUGGGAAGCAAAGCCAUCAAUUUAACGCUGUUAUGAGCCUUGGAUGUGCUUAAUUUGCAUCCACACCAUGCAGCUCUUCAGCACUAAGCCUGUCCAGUCAGCAAGACACCUUAGUCCCAAUGGUGUUGUGCCUACUGCAGCACAUGCUGAGCUCUGCUUCACCCACCCAAUCCAUAUAGACACUGCUGAGAAACAGGAAAGAAAUGUCAGACAUCUUCAGUAAAGAAGUCCAGGUCCAAACAGAAUUGGGAAAAGUUAAGAAACUCAGCUAAGCUGCUUUUUAUAAUAAAGCAGCACAAAAUCCAAUCGUGAAGAGGAGAUGGAAGAUGAUAUCUGCAAGAGAAAUGAAAACUAAAUAAUAGCACAGCUUCAAGAGCAGAGCCUACUGCAGAGCUGCAGGAUAGCAGAGAGGAGACCCUUCCACGAGAAGGAGGACCGGGAGGUUUUGUUCGGGCUGAGCUGUAGCUAAUUGUCAAACAGGAGCGUCGUCUGGCAUAUUGACAAAAACUGACUUUUUAAAUGGCUACAUUAUUUCCCAACAUGUUUAAACAGAUUGCCCAAUGUGGCAUGACAGGGAUCAGGGUGCACAGCCCACCACUCAGGUUAACGUCUCGCGGUGGCUCCAUCUAAUGCAAGCUCUGCUGCCAGCUCCCCACCCGACGUGCUCCCAGGAGCUUCUCGACAUUCUCUGUCCAAAUUUAGCAAGUUUUUUCUUAGAGGGAGGCCUUACCACUGGGCAGGAGAACUUCUCACUGUCACAGACGUGCGUUUCGCAGUGCAGCCAGACCUUGGACAGCUUGGGGAUGUUUUGGAAGCGGAAAGCAUUAAACUGGAAGGUUGCCCGGCUUGUCUUCCCAUUCUCAUGCACAAGAAUGGAGUUGUCUGUGGCACACCUGUGUUGUGUGUGAAGAAGCAGUGUCAGACCCUGACCUGUGAAUAACCACGUCCUGAGGUCCUGGUCUGAUGGAGGCAUUUGCCCAGCUUUCAGAUGCUUGGGGAGCAAUAGGACACGGUGUGAAAGGGGACUGUUUGGGCCUGCAGAAAUCAAGACCUUUUGGCAUCUGACUGAUUAACAAGCAUUGCAGGGUCAGCAAAGCCUUCCAGUUAUUCUCAAGUCAUCUCCUUUUAACCAGCACUCAAAGUUUUGUCCCCACUCUUGCUUUCCUUCCCACCUAUUGUGACUGCAGAUGGCCCAGGGUCUGCUGCACAUUCAGGUCUGUGGCAGCCACCGAGGGCAGCAGGCCCCAGUGAGCAAAGGGGGCUGAGAACUCACUGUGGUGCCUGCUGGUGGGCAGAGGAAGGCAGCACAUAGUGGGGACAAGCCUACGGCUGGAAGGGGCUGCUCCCCACAGCACCAGUUACAACUCCCAUCCCUUCCCUUGCUGCCUCGAGCACCAGGGGGUUGCCCUCUCAUUGCUCCCCACAUUUCUGGGAUGGGCAGAGCUGCUCCCCAGGUCCCACCAGAACCUACCCCUUGGUGAUGAGAGGCCAGUGGAUCUGGUAGAAGUACUCCGAGGAGGGAGUUGCCCAGCAGUUGUUGAGAACGACCUUGAACCUGGGGAGGCACAAGCAUCAGAUGAGCACGUAGCAUCCUGGUUGCCAACUUGUUGUUUCUCCUUUCUCACCUACCUGUCACUUAAGCCCUUAGCUUCCACUCCAGCAAAUAUGUCAGAACCAAUUUCUGAUGUUUCAACGACAAAAGGGGCUUCUUUUAUGCUUGAAAACUUGGCAUUCUUUAGAAGAGAAAAAGAAAAAGCAUCAGAUGCUAUCAGUACCAUGCAAAACGUGGCAGCUUCAGACACCUCUGGACAGACAGACCCAGAAGUCUGUUUUUUUUUAUCACCUACAAGCUCCAAGUGUUUAGUAGUAGAGCUAUUGUAAUCCUAAAAGAGUUUUUAAUAAUCUUAAGGUUGUAUUUAAAAUAGGACGUUACUCUGCCUGCAAUUUGAGCUGCUGGCACAGGAGUCAUUACAGAAGUACUGUCACAAAACUCAUCUUGGUCCUUGUGUUAAAAUGAGUUGAUCCUGGAACAGUGCAUUAGAGAAAAAGAUCAUUUAGUUGAAAUUAACAUUUUCUUCCCAGCAAAAUAUGAACAAAAUAACAAAACAGUGGUUUAUUGGCUUUCAGAGCUUGUUCUGCUCUUGUUCUGUGGUAAAAUGUAUUAUGCACGGUUCAGCUGCUCCAUCCUUGACUCCUGGGAGCCCUAUGGACAUCAGAACAAAACCAUAAUUUGGCAACAAUAGCAAGUAAGCAAAGAAUAACAACAACAAAAACCUACCAGAGAUUCAUUGCUCACUGCCUAUCGAAUAUUUCUGCCGUCAUUCUGUCAGGAGUUCACAGGAACAUUGGGGCACCUCCUGGGACCUUGUCACUAUAUACUACCAGCAUGCCAUAUGUCAGAAAACAAGAGCACAUGGGCUUUCAUGUAGCAUGUAAAGGCUGCCAAAAUGUUUAAUGCCCUAUCAACUGGUGCCCUAAAUGCAGCGUGUGAGGGGAGAAACAUCAAUCUGCCUUGUGCUCAAUACUCCCUCCACCUGACCUAUCAAUUUAACUCACUAUGUUUCUAGCUGUGCUUUUUCUAGCUGUGCUAAAAUAGAGAGGCUGCUUUGGUGCUUUUGAGUGUGCUUUGGUGGAAAAAAAGACUGAAGGAUCAUGAGCUGGCUGCUCCAGCAGCACAACAGAGCUGUGGGGAGGAGAUGGCUGUUUCAAAAGAUCAGCUUGAUAUCCAGGUACAAAUGCUGGGAACAAAAUUCCAGCAUGACCUAAAGAUCUCAGGGGAACAUGAAAUGUCUGUCAGAUGAGAGGAUGCAAACUGCAAGAGAGAUGCAUGGAGCUUUUCUAUAUCUAUAGAGACAAUGUCAUAGCAGUGGUGCCUGCAGGUGCAUGCUGCUCUUUGAGUGGGACUACAAACAAGUUUUUAUUUUUUUGUAUAAAACCUGUCAGCAUGUAAGAAAUGUACUUCUCAGCAGAAAAAGCUGCCUCAUGUGGAGGGAUUAAAAGAACUGUUCGCAUGUGUCUGCUCUGCUCAGUUUAAGUUAUAUCCUUGUUAAUCAGUAGAAACAAGGACCUGUACAAACCCUGCUGUAAUUAUCUUUUACAGGCUAAUAAUGUGCUCCAUGACACAUGAAAGUCAGGAGCAGCAGCCCUUUUUUUCCCAGCUCUUUGGCUGGAAUUUGUGGAAGGUGAAACACUGAGUGGCAAAGAGCACUUACAGAGUAGAAGUUGAGGGAUAGCUGACUUUCAAACGAGCCAGAGCUCCCAUUCUUCACGUGGACGGUGGCCACCCUAGGGAUAUAACAAACACAGAGCUCUGUAACAGUGAACUGUGGUGUUGAAGAAGUGGUGAUGCUCACUCCCAGAGCAGGACUUACCUUUGGUCAAAGGCAGCCUGGUUCACCAGGUAGUUGGCAUUGUAUGUGCAGGUGAAUGAGUAAUUCACAGGCUGGCUCUUCACAAUCACUGAGGUGUCAUUGGAGACAAUGGAGUUGUAGAAGUGAUAAACGGGGUUCUUAAACUGUAGGUGGUAAGGCAGAAAUGUUAGAUUGGUAGGUAGAAAUGUGAAGAUUCAAUCUGGUGACAAAACACUAUUCCUAAUGAUUUUUCUAUUUAUCUAUUUAUAGCUCUUUCUAUGCUGUGCUUCCUAUAUAUAUAAAUAUAUAUAUAUAUAUACACACACACACCUUACUACAUGUAUAUGUUCUGUUUAGUAAAGGCACAUGCAAAUGGGUGAGUAACACACAGAUUAUCAUCACUAAGCCUGUGAGUAUUUUGCCUGCAGAUGCAAAGCAUGACUAUUUGAUUCUUCCUUCUUCCAAAAUUAAAUAAGCUCUGAUACUGGAGUUUGUCUCCCCUUCAGUACUUAAAGCCUACUCCAAGCUGAAGCAAAUGGGCUCUUUAAAGCAAGUACAGCUGCUUUCUGAGUCCAGCUCAGGUAGUGCUGUGUUGCUGCCUUUUAGAAAUGAUAGUCUUACCUCUUUUAGACCUUCACAUUCUUACCUCUGACUGUGUCCCGCAGUACGAUUUAUUUUUAGGUGACAGGUCUGGGAUUGUGAAUUGGUAAUAUCCUGAAUCGUGGAUCCCAUUGUAGCAAAUGCCUCCAAGUGCCAGCUGAUUAACCUCCCACCCAUAAGGACACUCUGGAAUUUUUGUAAUGAUGGUUCUAGGGUAGCAGUAUACCAGAAUUACAUCUGAAAGGAAAACAGCACAGCUUGAGUGACCUUCAGGGGUGUUUUCUUUUCAAAGAAGCAGGUCUGCACAUCUGCUUUCCAUGGGGAUUAAGUUCUUGUGGGAAGGAAUGUGUGCUGGAAGGUCCCCUGUUGUGAUGAGCAAGGGAAUCAGGACUGCAUGCACUACACAAAGCUGACCUUGGGGUUGUUAAAUUCAGUCCUCCCUGAAGGAGUUUUGCCUUUGCCUUCUAAUCAGUGCAGAACUUCAUGUACAUUUAUCUUUCUGGAAUAGCUGAUUAGGAAGCAAAGAGACUGCUGAGAAACGUGAGGUCAAGAACUGCUGCACUGAAAUCUGUCAUGUUAGCUUGUGCUGCAGAGAUGACUUCUGUUGGUGUAACACCACUGACAGUGUAGAAAUAGUAUCAGUGAAGUUUGUUAGCCUUCAGUAAUUUGCAUCUUUUUGUAGCAGUGUUUGAUCUAGGCCACAACAUGUUCUGCUGUUUCCUUGCACUAUUAUUGCACUGCCAAUGCAAACAGGAGUUUUACAAUUUUCACAUUAAAAGUUAAGAUACAAAAAUGAACUGAAAAGCCUGGCUCUGUUA